rnacentral:tRNA from 1 species
GGUAAGAUGGCUGAAUGUUUAAGCGGUGGGUUGUAGCCCCACACAUAGAGGUUUAACCCCUCUUUUUACCU